GGGGGAUCUUCCGCAAUGGGCGCAAGCCUGACGGAGCAACGCCGCGUGAGGGAGGAAUGUCUGUGGAUUGUAAACCUCUUUUCUCUGGGAAGAAGAUCUGACGGUACCAGAGGAAUCAGCAUCGGCUAACUCCGUGCCAGCAGCCGCGGUAAGACGGAGGAUGCAAGCGUUAUCCGGAAUUAUUGGGCGUAAAGCGUCCGUAGGCGGUUAAUUAAGUCAGUUGUUAAAGACUGCAGCUCAACUGUGGGAGAGCAACUGAAACUGGUUGACUAGAGUAUGGUAGGGGUAGAGGGAAUUCCUAGUGUAGCGGUGAAAUGCGUAGAUAUUAGGAAGAACACCAGUGGCGAAGGCGCUCUGCUGGGCCUGUACUGACACUGAGGGACGAAAGCUAGGGGAGCGAAAGGGAUUAGAUACCCCUGUAGUCA
rnacentral:rRNA from 1 species